rnacentral:rRNA from 1 species
UACGUAGGCAGCAAGCGUUUGUUCGGAGUUACUGGGCGUAAAGGGUGUGUAGGCGGUUGCUUAAGUUUGGUGUGAAAUCUCCCGGCUCAACUGGGAGGGUGCGCCGAAUACUGAGUGACUCGAGUGCGGGAGAGGAAAGUGGAAUUCCUGGUGAUAGCGGUGAAAUGCGUAGAUAUCAGGAGGAACACCGGUGGUGUAGACGGCUUUCUGGACCGUA